rnacentral:rRNA from 1 species
GGUAACGGAGAAUCAGGGUUCGAUUCCGGAGAAGGAGCUUGAGAAUUGGCUACUACAUCUAAGGAAGUCAGCAGGCGCGCAAAUCACCCAAUCCCGAUUCGGGGAGGUAGUGACAAAAAAUAACAAUACCGGGCCUUUUUGGGCUUGGUAAUUGGAAUGAGGGAGAGUUAAACGGACCAUCGAGUAUCCAUUGGAGGGCAAGUCUGGUGCCAGCAGCUGCGGUAAUACCAGCUCCAAUAGCGUAUAUUAAAGUUGUUGCAGUUAAAAAGCUCGUAGUUGGACUUGUGUGCGCUGUCCGCGGGUGGCCUGCGCCCAAAAGGGCGUUUCGGUUCGGCCCCGGUGGCGCCUUGAAAUCUGCAGCUGGGGGGACGUUGGCCUUAACUGGUCGGCGACCGCACGCCGGCUGCUCGGUUACUGUGAGAAAAUUAGAGUGUUCAAGGCAGGCAUUGGGUGCAAUUGAAUACAUUAGCAUGGAAUAAUAAAAUAUGGCUCCUGCCGUAUUUUGUUGGUUUUGACUGGUGGGAGUAAUGAUUGAUAGGGACGGUUGGGGGUGCUAGUAUUGAGCGGCCAGAGGUGAAAUUCAUGGAUUCGCUCAAGACUAACUUAUGCGAAAGCGUUCACCAAGGACGUCCUCUUUAAUCAAGAACGAAAGUUGGGGGAUCGAAGACGAUCAGAUACCGUCGUAGUCUCAACCAUAAACUAUGUCGACUUGGGAUCGGCGGUAGUUUUUUCAUUAAGACACUGUCGGGACCACGGGAGAAAUCAAAGUGUCUGGACUCUGGGGGAAGUAUGGUCGCAAGGCUGAAACUUGAAGGAAUUGACGGAAGGGCACCACCAGGAGUGGAGCCUGCGGCUUAAUUUGACCCAACACGGGGAAACUUACCAGGUCCAGAGAUGUAGAGGAUUGACAGAUUGAAGCUCUUUCUUGAUCACUUCGGUGGUGGUGCAUGGCCGUUCUUAGUUGGUGGAGUGAUUUGUCUGGUUAAUUCCGUUAACGAACGAGACCUCAGCCUGCUAGUGUAGUCGGCUGGAUUGCCUUUGGCGAUCCGUGAUUUCGACUUCUUAGAGGGACAAUCGACGCGCAGUCGAUGGAAGUUUGAGGCAAUAACAGGUCUGUGAUGCCCUUAGAUGUUCUGGGCCGCACGCGCGCUACACUGCUGGGCUCAGCGAGUUUUACUUGGCCGAGAGGCCCGGUUAAUCUUGUGAAAUCCCAGCGUGCUUGGGCUCGCCUCCUGCAACUGGAGGCGCCAACGAGGAAUUCCUAGUAGACGCAGGUCAUCAACCUGCAUCGAUUACGUCCCUGCCCUUUGUACACACCGCCCGUCGUUCCAUAAGAGUGAGGCAUCCGGUGAAUUCUCGGGAGAGCCUGGGCGUGGCCAGCAAUGGUCUGCUCGGGUUUGAACUUGCAUAAACUUGGUGCCUAUGAUUAGGGAAAAGUCGUAACAAGGUU